rnacentral:pre_miRNA from 1 species
ACCUACCUAACUGGGUUAGGGCCCUGGCUCCAUCUCCUUUAAGAAAACCUUCUGUGGGGAGUGGGGCUUUGACCCUAACCCAGUUGGGCUGU